rnacentral:rRNA from 1 species
AGUGAACGCUGGCGGUAGGCCUAACACAUGCAAGUCGAACGGCAGCACAGGAGAGCUUGCUCUCUGGGUGGCGAGUGGCGGACGGGUGAGGAAUACAUCGGAAUCUACUCUGUCGUGGGGGAUAACGUAGGGAAACUUACGCUAAUACCGCAUACGACCUACGGGUGAAAGCAGGGGACCUUCGGGCCUUGCGCGAUUGAAUGAGCCGAUGUCGGAUUAGCUAGUUGGCGGGGUAAAGGCCCACCAAGGCGACGAUCCGUAGCUGGACUGAGAGGAUGAUCAGCCACACUGGAACUGAGACACGGUCCAGACUCCUACGGGAGGCAGCAGUGGGGAAUAUUGGACAAUGGGCGCAAGCCUGAUCCAGCCAUACCGCGUGGGUGAAGAAGGCCUUCGGGUUGUAAAGCCCUUUUGUUGGGAAAGAAAUCCCGCUGGCUAAUACCCGGUUGGGAUGACGGUACCCAAAGAAUAAGCACCGGCUAACUUCGUGCCAGCAGCCGCGGUAA